AGGAAACCUGAAGCAGCUGAUGUUUUUUGAUGGCUGCAAGAACUGCCUGCAGAGCCUGCCCCCGGAGAUAGAAGGCUGCGUUUCAUUGGCUGACCUCCAUCUGACAACCAAUCAGAUCACAACUUUCCCUGACUCCAUCUGUAACCUUAGCAACCUGACUACACUCAAAGCAGACGACAACUGUCUCACAUGUUUACCAGAUAACAUGGGGGAACUUCAGUCCCUGUCUGAACUGAAUGUGAGCGCCAACACUCUGACAGAGUUACCUCCACUCUGGGCCUGUUGAGAUACCUCCGAACCUUGUACGCUGAUGACAAUGAUCUCACAUAUCUUCCUGCUGAGCUGGGCAGCUGCAGUGGUAUAACAGUGCUGUCUCUGCGUAGUAACAAGCUGACAUAUGUGCCGGACGAACUGGGCCGUAUUCCCCGUCUCCGUGUCCUCAACCUCAGCACCAACCAGCUUGAGUGUCUGCCUUUCACCAUCACCAAGUGUAAGGAGCUUCAGGCUCUUUGGCUCUCGGAAAACCAGACACGCCCACUGGUUCCUCUGCAAUCAGACCAUGAGCCUGUGAGUAGGAAGAUCCUCCU